rnacentral:miRNA from 1 species
AGAAGCUGAGAAUCACUUUUU